rnacentral:rRNA from 1 species
GCGAGUCUUAAUAGGGCGCAUAGUAGCGGGGCGUAGACCCGAAACCGGAUGAUCUAUCCAUGGCCAGGAUGAAGGUGCGGUAACACGCACUGGAGGUCCGAACCCACUAAUGUUGAAAAAUUAGGGGAUGAGCUGUGGAUAGGGGUGAAAGGCUAAACAAAUCCGGAGAUAGCUGGUUCUCCUCGAAAGCUAUUUAGGUAGCGCCUCAUGUAUCACUCACGGGGGUAGAGCACUGUAAUGUUAGUGGGGGCCAUUGCGGCUUACUGCGGCAUAGCAAACUCCGAAUACCGUGAAGUGCGAGCAUGGGAGACAGACAUCGGGUGCUAACGUCCGGUGUCAAGAGGGAAACAACCCAGACCGACAGCUAAGGUCCCAAAUGACGUGCUAAGUGGAAAACGAUGUGGGAAGGCAUAGACAGCUAGGAAGUUGGCUUAGAAGCAGCCAUCCUUUAAAGAAAGCGUAAUAGCUCACUAGUCGAGUCGUCCUGCGCGGAAGAUGUAACGGGGCUAAGCACGUAACCGAAGCUUCGGAUAUGUAAUUUAUUACAUAUGGUAGAGGAGCGUUCUGUAAGUCUGCGAAGGUGUCUGGUAAUGGAUGCUGGAGAUAUCAGAAGUGCGAAUGCUGACAUGAGUAGCGAUAAAGGGAGUGAAAAGCUCCCUCGCCGAAAACCCAAGGUUUCCUGCGCAACGUUCAUCGGCGCAGGGUGAGUCGGCCCCUAAGGUGAGGCAGAGAUGCGUAGCUGAUGGGAAACGGGUCAAGAUUCCCGUACUUUCGUUUACUGCGAUGUGGGGACGGAGAAGGUUAGGUGAGCCGGGUGUUGGAUGUCCCGGUUUAAGUGAGUAGGCAGAUCCCUUAGGCAAAUCCGGGGGGUUAAUGUCGAGACACGAUGACGGUGCUCCAUUGGAGCCGAAGUCACUGAUACCAAGCUUCCAAGAAAAGCCACUAAGCUUCAGGUAAACGAGAACCGUACCGCAAACCGACACAGGUGGGUAGGAUGAGAAUUCUAAGGCGCUUGAGAGAACUCGGGUGAAGGAACUCGGCAAAUUAGCACCGUAACUUCGGGAUAAGGUGCGCCCCGGUAGGUUGUAGAGCUUCGCGCUCGAAGGCCGAUGGGGUUGCAGUGAAAUGGU